AAAAAAAAAAACAAGAUGACCCACGCAGAAGGAACUGCAGCUGGAAGUCCACGACAAGUACCCAAACUGAACGAGAGGAUCCUUUCGUCUAUGUCAAGAGAUCAGUUGCUGCACAUCCUUGGCAUGAUCUUGAUAUUGGACCCGAUGCUCCAAAAGUUUUCAAUGUGUUGUCGAGAUAUCGAAAGGUAGUAAGGUCAAAUAUGAACUUGACAAGAAGUCCGGAAUGAUUCUGGUCGAUCGAGUUAUAUAUUCUUCAGUGGUAUAUCCUCACAACUAUGGUUUCACACCUCGCAC